rnacentral:rRNA from 1 species
CCUACGGGAGGCAGCAGUGGGGAAUAUUGGACAAUGGGCGCAAGCCUGAUCCAGCAAUUCCGCGUGGGUGAAGAAGGUCUUCGGAUUGUAAAGCCCUUUCGUUGGGGACGAUGAUGACGGUACCCAAAGAAGAAGCCCCGGCUAACUUCGUGCCAGCAGCCGCGGUAAUACGAAGGGGGCUAGCGUUGCUCGGAAUGACUGGGCGUAAAGGGCGCGUAGGCGGCACAACUCGUCAGGCGUGAAAUUCCUGGGCUUAACCUGGGGGCUGCGUUUGAUACGGUUGGGCUAGAGGAUGGAAGAGGCUCGUGGAAUUCCCAGUGUAGAGGUGAAAUUCGUAGAUAUUGGGAAGAACACCGGUGGCGAAGGCGGCGAGCUGGUCCAUUACUGACGCUGAGGCGCGAAAGCGUGGGGAGCAAACAGGAUUAGAUACCCUGGUAGUCCACGCUGUAAACGAUGUGCGCUGGAUGUUGGUACGUUAGUUACUCAGUGUCGUAGCUACGCGAUAGCGCNCCGCCGUCGGGGAGGUACGGCCGCGAGGUUAGUAAACGUUAAAGGUAAAGUUAGACGGCGUGGUAAGGUACGUGCCGAACGGACGACCGACGAGGGGAGGUUAGG